rnacentral:rRNA from 1 species
UACGUAGGGUGCAAGCGUUGUCCGGAAUUAUUGGGCGUAAAGAGCUCGUAGGCGGUUUGUUGCGUCGGCUGUGAAAUCCCGAGGCUCAACCUCGGGUCUGCAGUCGAUACGAGCAAACUAGAGUGUUGCAGGGGAGACUGGAAUUCCUGGUGUAGCGGUGAAAUGCGUAGAGUAUCUGGAGGAACACCGGUGGCGAAGGCGGCAUCCUGGACCGGUAUUGACGCUGAGGAGCGAAAGCCAGGGGA